CCUCUCUGUCUGUGUCCUCCCACAGUUCAUAUGUGCAGUAUAGAUGGCGACAGUGAAAACCACACCGCCCUGGACCUCAAUCCAGAUGAGAGGAGGUUCUGCGUGUUCUCGCUGGCUGCGUCAACAGAUGGCAAAGAGAUCCUGGGCGGGGCAAAUGAUGGCUGCCUUUAUGUUUUUGAUCUGGAACAGAAUAAACGAACGCUGAAGGUGAGGGAAGCUCUGAAGACUU